GGGCUUCCUCCCUUUAUGCUCAUUACCCAAUUCCCCCCAGAGCUGGGCCUCAUAAUCAGUUGUGUCUGGACCAACACUGAGAUACAAAUUGCUAGAUCCAGUUAAGCCUUAUAGUGCUAGCCCUUGACACAAUAUACACCCAGUCAUACUACUAAAAUCCACAGUACCUGUUAAUCUUGUUUUUUGAAUGUAGACGAGUCUCAGCCUCUUGGCCUCCAUGAAAAGAUGGCAAAAUGCUCCUGGAUACUACAGCUAUCUCAGGGCCUGAUUCAAAGUCUUUGCCUUCAGUGUUUGGAUUAUUCUCCGGAGACAAAUGAGAAAUAAUAGGACCCCUGUCUUACAGACAUGGAUAACAAAAGAUUUAUUGUGUUUAUUGCUCCCAAACUGACCACGAUUGUCUUGAUCUUGAACCACAACCAAACUCUAAAGUCACCAAACAUUGAGUAAGCCUCCAAACUGCACCAACUGAUAAGUAGGAGACACAGUGCUAAGAUGACUCUGCAUAUCAAAAUAAUCUCAGCCUCCAUUGUUUCAUUGUGACCACAUAUCAUAUUCACAUAGAGCUGAAGUGCUGACAAGACAAAACCUGUGCUAUGAUAUCCCACAUGUGACAGCCCUGCAGCAGAUGAGCAAUGGAGUCAUAAAAUCAAGGGCAGACUGAGCUGAGCUGCUCCCUUUUAUGCUAUGGCUUCAGUUGAAGAAUGCUGAACAGGGGAGACGCAGCAUGGCCUUUUCAGUCAAAGUAUGAGGUUAUCUUCUUCUGGCCCAGUGCAGGGCAGGUAUACACCAUCACAGGGAGCAAAGCUUCAUUUUAUACACAGGUGUUAACUGAGGAUAUCUCCUUUGAAAUGACUCGAGGCAUACCGGCAUAAAAGUGGUGCAAAGAAAUGAAACUAUGUCCCAGAACCUCAGAAUCAGAGCUUAUCAGGUAAAUGAAGGAGAAAUUGCUUUUACGAUAUUUCAUUACAUUUUCUAUCAAGCACCUUCCUUUCCCCGAUGUCUCAUCUUAUGCUGGAAAGGCACAGCUGAUUUACAUAGCUGUGGUAUAGCAAUAGUGUUGUUUAGAAUGGAUUGCAUCAUGAAUGGCCCCUUGCAAGUCUUCUUUCCUAGGCAAGAAUCAACACAGGAGGAUUUAGAUUUCUUAAAUCCCUUAUUUGUGAUUGGCCUCAUGCUCUACUUUCUUCCACCUCUACUCUGAAUAAAUUUUCUUCUGCACUUUGGAUAUGACCACCAUUGCACUCAUCUAGUUCUCAACUGGUGAAAGACUCCAGCUAACCAAGAUCAUCUAUGUAUAUCCUUGCUAGUGACACAAUCAAAGCGAUGGACAUUAAGAAUAUACUAGAACUUUAGACACUAAAAACUGAUUAGUUUCCUCUCCUCAGCUACUUUUAAUAAUCACAUUGGAGAGUUGUCAUCACUACAGCAUUGAACACACACAUCUGAGUUGUCACAGACAUUCCAACACCGAACAGAGGCCUCUGAAGGUGCUGAAAUUCCACUGAUGCAAGCCGAGUUAUAUAAUGUCUUUGGAUAUAGAACUUACUGCUGUUAACCAUUUACCCAGAUAGGUAACACUUUCCACCCAUUUAAUGCCAUUGCUAUCUGCAUUAAGUUUCAGCAGGUUGUUUAUCUCUGUAUAAUAGCCACAAUUUGGGUUCAUUAUUAUGGAUCUGAAGUCGAACAGAUUCUGUGAUUUUACACAGAUAUUCUACUAUUAGUUGUAGCUGGGCCAUAGUCUCUCCUGGUAAGAUAAUAAGAUAGGUGGAAGAACAAAUCCCUGGAAUUCACCUGACUUUAACAAAAUACCCAGUUUGUAAUAGAACCAUUGAUUCUCACACAAUUAAAUACAAUGUGACAUAGCUCCUCCAUCAGCAUGGAUGAUGGAUGAAGCUUCCCCUUAGGGAGAAUAGCCUUAGCCCUGCUUGCUGCUCUCAGACCCCUCCCCAUGGCCCUCAAUGGAGCCGGGGUCGAGCUCUUAAUCUCUGCUGGGACCACAGCCCAACCCAUUCUGCCCUUUCUCCCAUGGCCCUUUUGCUUCCCCCCACUGUAGUAAAAAAUACCUAUAAACACCUGUAAAGCCACUUCAUUGUCCUAUUUCAAAACCCUCUUUUACUUUCUGAAGUGUUCUACAAAGAGCAUACUAGACAGAUGCUGUGCUGUGACCAGUGGUUGUCCUGUUGAUUACAGCUGCCUCAGGUACCUUGUGCUUUUCUUGUCCAUGUGCUGUAGCCACUUCUUUCUCUCAUAAUACUUAGACAGAAGAGGGGCCUUUUUUUUCUUUUUUGGGGGAGAGGGGGGAGAGGGAACCUAUUAUUUGUGCAGUGCUUACCACAAGAGUGCCUUCUAUGUACCAUUUUGAUGUAGAAUAAAAUACAUUUA